CACUUACUUAGCUAGCAAAUGCAGCUAUCUAGUUUAGUUACUCAAACACCCGACUCAAACAGAGGGAUGCUAUGUUAAGUAGAUGGCUAUGACUAUCCAAUACAACACUGGAACUCUUCCAAGUCAAGAGAAACAGCUGUCCCUGCUUCUCAGAAACACCUGAGCUGCCAGACAGGACGUUGCUGGAAAAAGGACUGACUGAUUACUAAUGGGAAAAAGAAAAAACAAGAAAAUAAGAAGGUGCUAUUCGCUGAAACAGACCCCUAGCUGAUCAGCCCAAAACUCCACAAUGUAUUCAAGAUCAUAAGGAACUGUCGCACACUGAGACUGAUGUCAGAGACAUCAAAGCUUUGUGUUUAUCUGCUUUGAUGAGAAGGUCAUCAUUUGAUCCAUGAAAGGGGUGCGAGCAUAUAAAGGGUUGAUUGUUGCUCUUCAUUUUUAGACAGAGACUGAACACAUCAAACACUUUUGCAUUUGAAGACAUACUGUACAUUUUACGUUACAUCAUAUAACAUGUCACAAAGUAUCAACAUGACUGAAGGAGGCUACAUUUACAUGAACAUGUCACAUACAACUGUGUAUGUUCCAAUGACGCAUAUGUAUGCGACCAUAUACGUAGAAUAAAUGAAAAUCAGACAGCUGAGGUCUAAUUAUGUCUACCUAUAGCUUAGAAUGGUGUGACAGAGUUGAAGGGUGUUUAUUACCUCUGAAUUGUGAUCCAAGAAAAUAUUUUAAAAAGCACUUGGGGCAGUCUCUCAGAUCUCUCAGAUUCAGACCACUACCCAUCUAGUGUAAUGAAGCGUUUCAUGAUUGGAGAUAAAAAGUUGGCCAGCGAAAAAGACUGCCACUUUAUCAAAAGUGGUCUGCAUCCUAAAUGGCGCCCUAUUCCCUAUAUACUGCACUACUUUUGACCAGGGCCCACACAAUGUAGGAGAUAAGGUGCCA
rnacentral:lncRNA from 1 species